UACGUAGGGGGCGAGCGUUGUCCGGAGUUACUGGGCGUAAAGCGCACGCAGGCGGUCGGGCAAGUUUGGGGUGACAGUGGUCGGCUUAACUGACCAAGUGCCUCAAAGACUGCGCCGACUUGAGGGCCAGAGAGGGACACGGAACUCCAGGUGUAGUGGUGAAAUGCGUAGAUAUCUGGAAGAACACCAAAGGCGAAGGCAGUGUCCUGGGUGGUACCUGACGCUCAGGUGCGAAAGCUAGGGGAGCGAACGG
rnacentral:rRNA from 1 species